AGAAAACGGGUUGCUGUUUCCACAUCUCACCCAAACUUACUCUUGAUCAGCUCUGCACAAUGUAUGGAGUGUGGCUCCCGCUGCAUGCAUCUUUGGGAGAAGCAAAUCUUCAGCGUGAAGACAAAGGGUGAACCAUUUUGCACACAUGUUUUCAAAAAAGCUGUCCAAAGUUGUGGUGGCUGCAAGAGCUACACCUGAAUGGACAUCUUGCAUAUUCCUUAACUGGAGCCCCUGGUGUGCUUGUAAGAGCCUCCGUGAGCACUACCAGAAAGCACAUUGGAGACACCCAUGGCAGCAUUGUCACAUGCAAAGGAGAGCCUAGA